rnacentral:rRNA from 1 species
UACAGAGGUCUCGAGCGUUGUUCGGAUUUAUUGGGCGUAAAGGGCGCGUAGGCGGCGGGGCAAGUCGGGUGUGAAAUCUCAGAGCUCAACUCUGAAACUGCACUCGAUACUGCUUUGCUUGAGGACUGGAGAGGAGAUUGGAAUUUACGGUGUAGCAGUGAAAUGCGUAGAGAUCGUAAGGAAGACCAGUGGCGAAGGCGGGUCUCUGGACAGUUCCUGACACUGAGGCACGAAGGCCAGGGGAGCAAACGGG